ACCGUUAACUUUCCUUUGCAAACUGUUGAAGAAUUUGAACGAAAUCUUGUCGAGUCCUUGGAAGUACAAAAAUUCUACAUUAAUGAGAUAAAGAUGAUCGGCGGAUCUGAUGCAGGCAAAUUCACCAGAGCCACAUUGCGCCUCUUAAUGUCGAAUCAGCUAGCAAUAAAGUAUUUUUGGUCCGGUCAAAGAAACACAUUAAAAUUUCAAACUACUCGAAUUUCUUAACUCAUUGUCGAAACCAUCUC